rnacentral:rRNA from 1 species
UGGGGAAUUUUGCACAAUGGGGGAAACCCUGAUGCAGCGACGCCGCGUGAUUUAGAAGGCCUUCGGGUUGUAAAAAUCUUUUCUAUGGGAAGAAAAUGACAGUACCAUAGGAAUAAGGACCGGCUAAUUACGUGCCAGCAGCCGCGGUAAUACGUAAGGUCCGAGCGUUGUCCGGAAUCAUUGAGCGUAAAGGGUACGUAGGCGGGUAAGCAAGUUAGAAGUGAAAUCCUAUAGCUCAACUAUAGUAAGCUUUUAAAACUGCUCAUCUUGAGGUAUGGAAGGGAAAGUGGAAUUCCUAGUGUAGCGGUGAAAUGCGCAGAUAUUAGGAGGAAUACCGGUGGCGAAGGCGACUUUCUGGCCAUAACCUGACGCUGAGGUACGAAAGCGUGGGUAGCAAACAGG